CUGAAUCAGAAUCAGCAGGGUGCAGGCCAGAAACAGAUGUUUCAGAAACUCUCUGGGUGAUUCUGAUGCACUGUAGUGUUUGAGAAGAACUACUUUAAAGUUUGCAGUUACUCCCAUGGACAUUGUAAGAGUUUUACCUCCAUCUUAUGAAGUAGAGAUGUUUUGAUCCAUUCUACAACGGAAUAAGAGAAGGCACAGAGAAUAUAAGUAAAUCUUCCUAGUCCAAGGAAGAAAGCUUUGAUCACUUGAAAUCCUGAAAGAGACUAAAAACGACACUGAAAUUGCCUUUGUGUGGAGAUAAUAAAUAUAAUUGGCCCAGUCAUGAAGAGUGUGCCUGUGAUAUUGGAGCAGCUGGUUAGCUAUGAUGGGAUCCAGCUGUCCCUGACACCCCACUUUAUGAAUCAACUGGAAAAGGAAAUGAGAGAGACAAGAGAGGCCAUGGAGUCAAAAGGUAAAUUGCCUUCCUCCCAUUUGAAGUCCAAACCACACCCUCAACAUCCUCCUUUGUCUUUAGCUGAAGAUAGUAUUUAAAUUGGUGACUUCAGACAUUGUGGAGACUCAUACACUGUUUUGGCGAUGGCUUUUUAAUAAAGACCUCCAGAAGAAGUUGCAGGUCCAUCUAGUUGUGGGAUGUGGGACGCCGCCUCUACGUGGCCUGAUGAGCGGUGUCAUGUCCGCACCCAGGAUCCGAACCCUGGGCCCCUGCAGUGCAGUACGUGAACUUAAUCACUCGGCCACGGAGCCGGCCCCCUACAUUUAUUUUUGAUUUAUACCAUAUUUGUAGUUAUACCCCAUUUUUCCUUUCUAAUAUUGUUUACUUUUCCUUUCUCUUUUUUUAAAUCAUCAAUCCUAUUAGAAUAAUUACAUUUUUAUUAGUCUUUCACUCACUUUAAUUUAUUCUAAGUGGCACGAAGGACCCACUAUCCACCAAAGGCUUGUGUACAGACUCCUUGCUUCUAAGUGGCCCCCUAACCAGGAACACAUUUCUCAGACUCUUCUUUCAGUGAAGUGCAUCCAUGUGAUUGAUUCUCACCAAUGUGGGCAGAGAGAUGUGUGUCGCUUCUCACCCUUCUCAUCCAUUGACUGAAUGCAGUGGACUUUCAGACCAUACAGAAGCCUGAAUCCUCAAGAGGAAGUGGCAGCUGUGGGAAUGUGCCUCUCAGAUCUCUGAGUAUGAGGAACGAGGUUGACUGAGGACCCCAGCUUCUAUGCUCUGAAAACUGUCGCUGUCUUCACACCAAGGCCAACUGUCAACCAUGCUGCCUGAAUAGUGACUGAGCUCAGCAAAGAUGCCAUGGCAGGCUCAUUCCUGAGAGAUGUGGGGCUUCUCUACGAGAGACUUUGACUUGAGGACUCCCUGUAGAUCUUGAGGAAACUUUCUUGAAUUGCCCAGAAUUCUAAGACUUUUCCUACCCAGUCUUUUUUCUCCUUCCCUCUCUCCUUUCAGAGGUCAGAAUUGCAUCAUGGUCAGAUGACUUUAGGGCCUCCUCCAGUUCCCUACACAUUUUUCCUUACCAAAUUUUCCUCAAUCUCUAAAAGGUCGAAUUCCAUCUUGGCAUCUGCUUUUCAGAGGACUCGAACUAACAUAAGUGAUGCGAAGAAUGGUAUAAGAUAAUGGGCAGUAAGAUGGGGUUCAUGGACUGGCAAAGAAGAUACCAUCCUGAGUCUCUGACACACAGUUCAUUUGCUAAAUAUUGUACUGGUAGUGAUGGGGAAAAGCAUCUUUGUGGAGGAAAAUACCCUUGUAGGUAUGAUGAUUCGGGCAUACGGAAGGUGAGAGGAGAGCAAUGCCCACAAAGGCAGUGGAGUGGUGGUUAAGGUUAUUGCUAAGUUGUAUUGACACUCUGCAGAGAGCUAAUAAAGAACCAAAGACCAUUAACAAACAGGUAAAGUCUUCAGGGUGAGAACCAGAGGGUCUCAUUGGGAGCUUACAAAGAGGCUUCUACCUCCUGCCGUGGAAGAGGGGACACAGCUGAGCAGCAGACAGUAAACAUAAGAUCUAGUAGAAUUUCAGAGCUCCAGAGACUUUAAAUACUCAGGUGGGAAGAUCUGUAAUGUUAAAGUUGGCCCUGGUUGAGAAAACUAGAGACCCUGAAACAUGGAACAGGGUAUCUUGAUAGAUGGCCUAAGGGAUGUUGGUUCUCCAGGUCCCUCUGAACCCUCAGAGAUCACAGAGGUGGAACUUCCCCUGUGUUGUGCUGGAAGACACUGUGGAAGCCCUUCUCCCCCUCAGCAGAUGCCCUCUCUUCCUCUCCUGGCUGGUAGGCUGGUGACUAGUGUCAAAUCCCUGCAUAAAAUGACUGGCCUAUUGCUGGGCCUGAUAAGAGAGGAAAGAGAUUAAUCAAAGAAGGAACAG
rnacentral:lncRNA from 1 species